UGUGUGUGAUGUCUGUACAGUGGAAGGAAGACAAGGAGACUUGGUGGUGGAAUGAAGAGGUCCAGGAAAUGAUAAGUAGAAAGAGGUUGGCGAAAAAGUUUUGGGAUAGUCGGAGAGAUGAUGAAAGUAGACGGCAGUACAAGGAGAUAUGG